UUAAAUUAAAAAUAUUACGCAUCAGUCUCUAAUUCAUAACUCAAAUCAACAUCCGCCGUGGACCACCACACCAAAAAUUGCCUCCGACAACAGUGUCCAUCAUAAACAAUCAUCAGAUACAGCAAAUAAUAUGUUUCUACCUCCCCAAUCCAAAUCUUCCUUCCAUUUCAACCAAUUCUGAAUCUAUCCUCAAAAUCGGAUUAAAGACUUCAAGAGCCCUAGGAGUUCAACCACAAAUUACAUAGCGAAGGACAAGAUUCAGAGCCACAAUUGAUAGGGCUUUGAAUCGCCCUGAUGCAAGCUAUAACAUGAUAACUUAAUUGCAAUAAAGUGGUGAAGAUGAACCUACCUCCGAAGCUGAGAAUUGCUUUGGCGAAGCGUUGGAUAUGAGAAGACGAAGCAGCGAUGGGAAAAUCACUUGAAAUCCGGCAUGCUCCUGCUCUUAUCUUCUUCUUCUUUCUGAUUCUUCCUCUUCUAAAGAUCCUUCUUCUUCUUCUUUUAAAACAUAUGCCUGAGAUUAUGCUUUGAGAGGGAGUAAAAGUUGCAGAGAGAACUCGUGAGGUUAUGAAUAGAGUGAUGGAAUCAGAUGGAGGUUUAACACACCUUCAUUCAAGGUCCAUUGUCGAGACUCUGUAGAAGUCUAGGGAUGUGCUCUGAGUGAUUAUAGUUGAGAGGUUGAAGAUGAUGCAAAGAUUCUGAGAUUUUCGGUAUUGUGAUCAAUCCCCUUGGAUGUGUGUGUGAGUUUUGAUUUAUAGGGCUCAUAGUUUGUAACAAAAUGGGGCAGAGUCAGGAAAAGUUUUAUUGAAGGUUAAGGUUAGUUCAAUCAAUGGGUAAGUUUGUUAGAAGAGUUAACACCGUUAACUAGUUAUGCAGUUAGUCAAUUCCACUUAAAGUCAGUUAAUGCAUUAGUUAGUUAGCAUUAACCAAAGGAGAAUUAGUUGAAAGUUUGAACUGUCAUUGCUCUGUUAGUGAAAUAUUAGUUAAACUGACUGUUAGUGGAUUGAGUAUUUGAAAUUUGUAUUGAGUUUUUGUAUGGCAUGCUAAUAUUCCAGGUUGCAUCAUGUUCAUGGUGAUGAUAGUGUGUCAAGGCUUGAUGGAUAUUGUUACAGGUCAUGAUGUGUGGAUGUAGGGCAUUAAUGUAAGUUAAAGGCAGAUGUAUAUUGAUGUAGCAAGUCAUGGUGAGGUUGCAGCAGGUCAAUGGUCAUGGUUGGUGAGGUCAUGUUUUGGCUGUUUGAAAUGCUAUGAUAAUGGUUGAGAUGUUUGGCUUGUUGCAAGUUGAUAUGUUGAUGACUGAAGCUUGCUUGGCAUGGAACUACAUGAAAGCUCAUGGUGAUGGUUUGGAGAAAAAAAAGUUUACUUGCUGAAGAAGAAAUGUUUGGUCAUGCAAUUAAGUGAAAGGAUGUAAAAGAAUGAAGAAUCAAUGUGGAAAUUAUGUGUUAGGUCUAGAAAUUGGGUCAGUUGGCUUUGAUCAAUUGGUUAACCAAAAAGUCAACAGUUGACCAAAAGUCAACUAUAGGUCAAACUUAUAUUUUUGUAAUUUUUUUGUAUAAAACUUUGUAUAUGUACGUUUUUGAAUGAAAUGGACCAUUGAAUGGAAA